AUUUAUGUAGUUUAAAAAAAACAAUACAUUUUCAAUGUAUAAAUAAAUACAUUUUCAUAAAUACC
rnacentral:tRNA from 1 species